UGAGCAAUCUGCCCUUCUCAUCGGAAUAAGCGUUGGAAACGACGUCUAAUGCCGAAUACGACCUCCUUUCGC
rnacentral:rRNA from 1 species